UCACUGCAAUAAUUUUCUCCCAUCAAUGUUUUGAACUAUAAUAAUUAUUUUCCUACUUUAUUUUUUAAAUUUAUAAUUUCCAAUUAUGUGUGAAUGUUUUAUUAAGUAAACCAAAUUUAUUUGAUGUAAAAAUUGUUUGUUAACCAAGAUGAACAGACUCUUGGAAAAGGAUUUAUCAUCCAUUAGAGUACAAAAUCCAAAAAAAAAAAAUGCUUGGCGUGAAGUUCACGCUACACCACCCAUAUGAAAUAGAAAAAACCCAUCAUUUAAAACCAUCCGCCUAGCAAGCACAUAGAGAUGAUCUAGUUGGCAACUUGGCGUGUCACUAUCCCUCUUCAUUAUUCAUCCCCAUUAUAUACAAAUCACCAGCUUUAUUUUCUUUCCAAAAUUGUUUCCUUUAACGAGGUGUGUUGACGCUUGGACAAGGGUUAAUUUAUAAGAUGACCUGGUCAAAAAAAUCAACCUGCUCCGAAAAAAAUCUUGGCUUUCAAGCAACACAAAAUUUUCCUCACAAUAUAAAAAACCCAUCAAAAUUUUCCUUUUCCUGCAUACUUUCAGAACCCUUUUUUUAUCUCUCUAAACUCGGUUAGCUUAUCAGCUUUUUCGUGAUCAAUACUGAUUGAAUUUGAGACAUGAGCCAAACAGGUAUGCUCAAGACUGGUUGUGCGUUUGUGCUGGGGGCUAUAUGUGGUUCUAUUGCAACUAGAUCAAGACUAGGCAUGAGUUACGAUGGUCGCCGAAACUUGCCUUGUCCUCGCCGAUCCGUUGAUGAGAAGAAAACCACUUCAACUCCGUCAACCGUUGAAACUGCAGCACCAACUAUUACAAGUGAUCAGUAGUACUCCAAUUCCCACAAGCAUCUCCUAAGACUAGAUUCCACCGAGCUUCUAUGAUUGUUAGUUAGUUCCAUGUUUUAUGUGUUUGUAAUACUUAUAUUUUACUACUUGUAUAUGUUAUUAUCGUAUUAGUGAAUAAUAUACUGAUGGUUUCCGAGGUCUGUUUUAUGUGUUUGUAAUGUAUAUUUGUCAAUUAUCUGCGGUUUCUGGUA